rnacentral:rRNA from 1 species
UACGAAGGGGGCUAGCGUUGUUCGGAAUCACUGGGCGUAAAGGGCGCGUAGGCGGCUAUUCAAGUCGGGGGUGAAAGCCUGUGGCUCAACCACAGAAUUGCCUUCGAUACUGUUUGGCUUGAGACCGGAAGAGGACAGCGGAACUGCGAGUGUAGAGGUGAAAUUCGUAGAUAUCGGGAGGAACACCAGUGGCGAAGGCGGCGAUCUGGGAAGAUACUGACGCUGAGGUGCGAAAGCGUGGGGAGCAAACAGG